rnacentral:rRNA from 1 species
AUUGAACGCUGGCGGCAUGCCUAACACAUGCAAGUCGAGCGAGCGGCGGACGGGUGAAUAAUGUAUGGGGACUGCCUGAUGGAGGGAGAAAACGACUGGAAACGGUGGCUAAUACCGCAUACGAUCCGAUGGCCCCUAUGGGAUUAGCUAGUAGGUAAGUUAACGGCUGACCUAGGCGACGAUGCCUAGCUGGUCUGAGAGGAUGAUCGGCCACACUGGGACUGAGACACGGCCCAGACUCCUACGGAGGCAGCAGUGGGGAAUAUUGGACAAUGGGCGAAAGCCUGAUGCAGCCAUGCCGCGUGUAUGAAGAAGGUUUUCGGGUUGUAAAGUACUUUCAUUCGGGAGGCGUUAUCGACAGAAGAAGCACCGGCUAACUCCGUGCCAGCAGCCGCGGUAAUAC